UGUGUGUGUGUGUGUUAUAUUAUUAAAUUAUAAUUUAAAGUAAAAAAAUUAAAACAAAAGGUAGUGCACCAUGUGCACCCAAAAAAAUCCCCUGCUCCCUGGUGCCACGCGGCGCCCAUAGGGGGCAUCCCCAAAUUGUUUUUUAUGGACAUAUUGUUCAUAUACAAUUUUUGCCCGCUAGUGGGGGCGGCUGGGAGCGAGGGAGGUUGGAAUUAAUUAGCUUUUAUUAUGAUAUCUACGUAUUCAUCUCAUUUGAUUUCAUUCUCAUGGCAUAGAAUUUGUUAUUAAGAAAAUUAUUAUUUGUCGUAGUUAAUUUUUUGAAAUAAAAAUUUUUUAGAUAUAUAUAAAAACUAUGAGAUAUGAUCUAUUAAGUUAAAAUAUUGAUUGAUAGGUUAACAUAUUUAAUUCUAAUAACUUUUUUCUUUAUCAUUGAUUGGGAUUAUGGAAUUUCACAAUUAUAAUCUUUUACAAAUAAAUAUUUAAAGCUGGUCGGGUCGUAGAUGAGUUCCGAUUUGAAGUUUAUAUUUUUUUUCAAUUUGAAGUUUUCUACAUUUGAAAAAGUAUAGGCUGAAUCGUAUCUGACGUGGUGCACCUGUCUAGGUCUAGGUCUUAUUCGUUGUCACNAACGGUCCAUUCACUAGUCUAGAUUGAACGGUUCUGAUUCACGCGAAGCCACUUCAUCACGUAACCGCGUUUUGCGCGCGGGCCGUUUCCAUGCAAACCACGCAGAUUUGGCCACGCCACCAAUCCCCAAAUGGGUGGGGCCCACCAGUCGGCAGAGUGGGGCCCCACCGAGAGCACGUGCUACUGUCCUGUGGAUGGGCGCCACGCGACGUGGCAGCUCAGUCGGUAUGGUCUUAGUCUCAAUUAUUUGAGUGCCACGCGAGCAUCGAGGCGGACUCGUAAUAUUACCGUCCUUUCAUUUCCGUCGCUUCGCGUAAAUAUUCUAUAGGCGCGGCGCUAGUGGGGGCGGCUGGGAGCGAGGGAGGUUGGAAACUUGGAAUUAAUUGGCUUAACUGCUACUCCGCCCGCAAGCGAUUUACGUCCACGUCACCCGUGAACCACCCAACCUUUCUCACCCCAACUCUUUUUGUAGGAAAACACACAACACCGUAAACUUCUUAGAUCAUUAUUGAAUUUCAGGAUUAGUUUUUAUUAUGAAAUCUACAUAUUCAUCUUAUUUGAUUCCAUUCUCAUGGCUUAGAAUUUGUUAUUAAGAAAAUUAUUAUUUGUCGUAGUUAAUUUUUUAAAAUAAAAAUUUUUUAGAUAUAUAUAAAAACUAUGAGAUAUGAUCUAUUAGUUAAAAUAUUGAUUGAUAAGUUAACACAUUUAAUUUUAAUAACUUUUUUCUCUAUCAUUGAUUGGGAUUAUGGGGUUUCACAAUUAUAAUCUUUUACAAAUAACUACUUAAAGCUGGUCCGUUCGUAGAUGAGUUCCGAUUUGAGGUCCAUAUUAUUUUCAAUUUGAAGUUUUCUACAUUUGAAAAAGUAUAGGCUGAAUCGUAUCUGACGUGGUGCACCUGUCUAGGUCUAGGUCUUAUUCGUUGUCACUUAGUGUCCCUUAUGUGACGUUGUUUCCUGUGCCAUACCAGUGGAGGGUAUAUAUGAACCGUCGAAUUCACGAGCAACAACCCAAUAGUAGCGGGAGUAGAUACGUUGGAAUCUGAUGGUACCCUCUUAUUAUAAAAUACAAUAAUAAUAACAACAUACUCAUGCAUAUAUAAUAAUAAUAACAAUAUACGUUGGAGUCUGAUUUACUUUGUUAAUUUAAUUAACAUUUGAUCUACCUCCUCAAAGAAACCAAAAGAAAAAACACCAUUAGUUCUAUAGAUUAAUUAGUCCUUCAAUUAUAUGGACCCUCUGUGGCUUAGCCGUGAUUACACUACGUUACCACGCACGUUUGCGUUUCGUAUAAUUGGACAUACUUGGUGUAUGGAAAUGCAAAUCCAAUAAUUCCAAGGACUUGGAAUUCUUUUUCUUUUUCCCUUCUCUUUCUGAUACUACUAUUUUGUGAGAUUUUAGUUGGUUUAGAAAGAAGUGAUGUGGUUGGUCCAAAAUUGUCUGGUAGAUAUAUGGCGAAUUCUUUAAGCCCCAAGUUUUUCCAAUCAUAUUUUAUUUUGAUUUAUGCAGGAAUUAAGUUAAAAUUAUUUUUAAUUUCAUUAAAAAUAUUUAUAGUCUUGUUAUUAUUUAGCCAUUAGCAUAAAUAUAUCUUUUAUUCUAUGAAUUGGUACAGCGAAAAAGAGAGACCGUGCAUCACAUUUUGAGUGUUUUGAUUUUUUUUUAUUUUUU
rnacentral:lncRNA from 1 species